UACAAAAUGUUGAGAUGUAACAAUAAUUACAGAAACAAAACAUGAUAUGAUGAGACAUUAAAAUCACUUUUUUCAGUAGCUUGGUAGCAAGGCGAGCCCUGCUGAUCGAGGAAUCGCCCCGACUAUUCUAUACCCCUUUUACACUGCAAGCAAAAUUCCGGACGUAACCUGGGAUUUUUCAAUACCCGGGUUAAAAUCUCCCGAGUUGUGGUUAGUGUAAACCACGUCAAAAAGUCCUACUCGGGUUGCCAAACAUUCUGGGAGGGAUGUGCGGGACACAUUCAGCGUAGAACAACCCAGGUGCAAAUAGCACCAAAUUUUAUUCCGGAAUUAGGCCUUACCUGGCGUCUACCGCAGCUGUGGUCAGGUAGGCCUAAACAUUGCCUACAAUGGGCUAGGCCUAGACACUUGUCAAAUUAAACCCUUCGGUAUAGACUUGAUAUCAAAACUGCUGAUUUAGUUCGCAUAAUUUAAAAACAAUCUGCAAUCGGCUUCGGGAGGACGAGGAACUCGAGCGAAGUGAUGAUCACCAUCGCAACAAAAACUGAGGGCGGUAUUUGAACCCGAGUUCGUUGCCAGUGUAAAAUGGCAGCAACUCAGGAUCAACCAGGACUUUUUCGUUCGACGUAAAUGGGAAAUGCACUUGGUAUUACUCCGGAAAAAACCCAGGUCGAUUCUGCCUUUGGCAGUGUAAAAAGGGUUUAAUUGUGGCUUUGUGAUGACUAGGAACUUGAGCGAAGUGAUGAUCACCAUCGCAAAGUUCGUUGCCAGUGUAAAAUGGGAGCAACUCGGAAUCAACCCUGACUUUUGUGUUCGAUGUAAAUGGAAAAUGCACCCGGGAUUACUCUGGAAGUAACCCGGUCGAUUCUGCCUUUGGCAGAGUGUAAAAGGGGUAUUAGACCAUAAUGUGAAAUCGUGAGUUUUUGUGAUCGUUUACGUACGCAGUAUCAGAGAGAGGGUGUAGUCGACAUCAAUUCAAUCAUGGAGGAAUAAUUCAAUUGAAUUAAUAAACGUAUAUCAGUCCGAUGACUUGUUUAUAAUUAGGCCUAGGAGGACCUACACCUAUGCCUAGGAUGAACAGUCAGUGUCUACCCAGCAGCAGUAGCAGCACUCCAGUCCAGGACACCACUCCAGUCCGCAGCAUGGUGAUAGGCCUAAACAUGACACUCUGGUCACAGGUAUUUGUGAAUCGCCAUGAUGACACAAAAAUACCACAUUUGCCGUGAGUACAACGACCCAACAUUGGCAUCUACGAAAGGAGGUGGUACAAAAGCAUACAAGCACCCAGCAAGACCUUGGCAAGAAACACUCUGGUUGUAAUGGAAGCACACAAUUUAAGGAGCGAAUAACAGGCUCGAAUGGAUUUGAUGCAAACAAUUCCAUCUAUGUAGACAUGAUGAAAUGUCCAAGCCAUGGUAGCAGAAGGUGGCGAUGCUCUGCAGCAAGUUAUUGAGGCCGAAAUAUUUCAACAGAAUUGAAUUAAAAUUAUUUAUCUAGUGAUAUUUUUCUGAAGAUACAUUACUGAAAUGCCACACACUUAGUUUUUGUUUUUUACUCAUCUGGAGAAAAUUUCGAUAUGCGCAUGCGUCGGAAAAACUUUGCCGACAUUUUGUUUUUCAUCGCGAGAGGGUAAUGUUUUUCAUCGCGAGAGGGUAAGCGAGCUCCAUAAUGCAUACCUUGUUGGUGUAGUUAACCAACAACUCGAAAAUAAAUCAUUGACCGAGGCACGUUUUAUCUACCACCAUACAGCGCAUGCGUGACAUGCAGUAUGCAGAGCAGCUGCGGUUGUAGUUAAUUGCGUGUCACUAAGCAGAUUUUGAAGAACGAAAGAAAACUUGUUAUUGUCAAACCAUGGAGGUAUGUCAAACAAUGAAGACUAUUUUAGUAGAUGAUAAAUGGAUAAGUUUGACUUCUAAAACCACCAACUUUGGUUCUGUGGUUUGACCAGUCAAGUUCAAAACAGUGGCAAAUCUGCCAAAUUGUGAACAAAUAAAAAUGGACAUUUUGUGGCGUAACCCAACACCACCCCAGCCCUACAAUGGUUUGGGUUAAGGUGGGAGCUUUUUAGGACAUGAGAGCUUUGGAUACCCGAAAAUGACGUCCUGAUUUCCGAUAUCAAAAACACCAAAAAAUAGGGACGUCCCUAUUUUUAGAAUAAAAAAAAAAAUUAAUUGCAAGAAGUAUCCACUACUUGCCAGUGUGAUGAAGGGAAUAUUAGUCUGUGGUUCCCCGGGUAUUAUCCCAUCCCCAUAAACGUGAAACUGUUCCGAUUUCGGGGGGGGGGGUGGAAUUAUACCCCGGGAUUUCCUAGGCCUAGUAUAUGAACAGACGGAAAUGACGAUCGUUUUGCAAGGUGGUUUUCACCUUCGAUUCAAUAGCCUAUCAAAACAAUUUUCGGGCGAAGAAAUCAGUCCUGCAUGAUGUAACGAGUUAUAUUUAGCAGCGAAUCUCUGUGGAAACACGUGAGUCUUCACGCUGUGAAUUAACGAUCCGAUCAGCCCACUGGGCAGGUCUUUUCAGGGAUGGACCGCGGUGUUGUCUAUCUUUACUUUAGCCGCAGUUUAGCGAGCUGCUUAUUUUUAGCAACAGUAAACAACAAAGUAAUUUACAAGAAUGGGCUUAACCUUUGUGUUUUAAUUCAUGGCGACCAAUGUCAGUUUUAAGCAAUUUUAAGAGUUUCAAGUUGGCAGAAUUCGGAGACAAUUCCUUUAUUUUUUGAGCAUUUGUUAAAUUUAUCGACCUAGGCCGACUUACCAAUCCUCAGACCUUGGGACUUCACCCGGGGAAAUUCGUGUACAUGAAGUUGGGCGUAAAAUCGGUGUGGGAUUCUACCCGGGGAACUAUGAUAAUAUUUUAUAGCAGUAGUGACUGAGAGAGUUUUCUCUAUUUGUUGAAAAAACAAAACCAAGCUUCGAGCUAGCAUGACAACAAAAACUUAAAGUGCUUUAAUGACACACAAGCUGGAAAUGUUGAACAGAGAUUAUAAGUGUCAUUCGAACAAAUAUUGACGUUAUGACUCCAAUGAGAUCCAGCAAAACAAGCAAUAUACCGUGCCCUACUAAUUAAAAUGUAACUUAAAUAUUUUUUCUUGGUUGUGAGGUAAAUAAACAGUACACUUGAAAUUAAGUAACUCUUGUUUUGUUUGAAGCAACUGUACAGGAAUUAGGAUAUAUAAUUGCCAUCUUAAUUUUUUGUCACCAAUGAAUAGCAUCCUUAUUUUUGAUAUUCGACUGGCAGGUAUGUAAAUAUACAGCAUUUGAUGGAUGGACCUGUAUGGGGGUGUAGGUGUACGUAAAAACAUUAGAAAUCUUUACUGGACUACAAAUCCCUCUAAACUAGUUUUACGUACAAAGGAACGUACACACCUGCGGGGUUCUGGUUAGAAGUUUUGUUACUUGCAAAAUAUCUUUAAUAUUAGUAAAUACUAUUAUAAGUACUGUACUUUCUUCUUUUAAAACAGAGUAAUCCCAUUCAAUCUAGUAAUCCUUUUGAAGCAAUGUGACCCAGAAUUAUAAAACAACUUGUGAGGAAUAAUUGUGAAAUAUAUAAUGUGCGAAGUUGAUAAUACAGUAUAAAAAUGUGGCUGAAUAUAUACAGGAACAACUAUUUUAAUGUAUGGCUUUGUACAGCGUUAAAAGUUAUUCUAUGAAUCUAUUUUGUAAUGCCUGGAUUAUGCCUAUUUCUGCAUGCUGAUCAAUUCGGUAUUGCAAUUUAUAAGAAAGCUUCAAUUUUGUUACACCAUUUUUUGUUUAGUAUUUUGAAAUAUAUAGUUGAACUUGCCUAUGUCGUACCCAAAAUGCCAUUGAGGAAUUAUUUGAUCUUAACAAAAUUUGACUUAUACUUAAAACGGUAAUGGAAAACACAACAAUUUGGCAUGUAAAAUUAGAUCAACUUAGAAAUUAUUAGAGUAUGGCAAAGUCGUCUUCGGCAAGUUUAACUGCACUGCUUUAUUUAUCAUGUCUGUUUUCUUGUUUUAUUUACCAUUGCCAAGAUUUCUUCUUUCAUGAUGAUAUUGAACAUCUAUG